GUGGGGAAUCUUCCGCAAUGGACGAAAGUCUGACGGAGCAACGCCGCGUGAGUGAAGAAGGUUUUCGGAUCGUAAAGCUCUUUCGUUAGGGACGAACGUGCUCUUUGUGAAUAAUGAGGAGUAAUGACGGUACCUAAAUAAGAAGCCACGGCUAACUACGUGCCAGCAGCCGCGGUAAUACGUAGGUGGCAAGCGUUGUCCGGAAUUAUUGGGCGUAAAGCGCGCGCAGGCGGGAUAUCAAGUCUGUCUUAAAAGUGCGAGGCUCAACCUCGUGAGGGGACAGAAACUGGUAUUCUUGAGUGUCGGAGAGGAAAGUGGAAUUCCAAGUGUAGCGGUGAAAUGCGUAGAGAUUUGGAAGAACACCAGUGGCGAAGGCGACUUUCUGGACGAUGUCUGACGCUGAGGCGCGAAAGCUAGGGGAGCGAACGGGAUUAGAUACCCGAGUAGU
rnacentral:rRNA from 1 species